UACGUAGGGGGCAAGCGUUGUCCGGAUUUAUUGGGCGUAAAGAGCGUGUAGGCGGCCAUACAGGUCAGCUGUGAAAACUCGAGGCUCAACCUCGAGACGUCGGUUGAAACCGUAUGGCUAGAGUCCGGAAGAGGAGAGUGGAAUUCCCGGUGUAGCGGUGAAAUGCGCAGAUAUCGGGAAGAACACCCGUGGCGAAGGCGGCUCUCUGGGACGGUACUGACGCUGAGACGCGAAAGCUAGGGGAGCGAACGGG
rnacentral:rRNA from 1 species